CCUUUCCCAGAACUGCCAGGCUAAGACCUUGGCAGAGAUUCAACAGGAAACUGAACUCUAUUUGCAUAUCCUUUUAUACAUGGGAGAUUAAAAGCUUCAACCUUGAGUGAUCAUAGUUUUUGAGAAUCACAAUGAGGCAUUAAGGAGGAGGAGUGUCCCAAGGGAGAUGAGCUGGAGUUGAAUCAAGGCAUCUGGCUGAUUCCUGGAAGACAAAACUGAGGUGAAAGGAAGAUAGAAGAAUUGAGGAGCCAUAUCGGUGUAUCAAGAGACUGUAGUUAUCAGUGUGGGAUUACAGAGCCAUCUUCUAUUUGAGUCUUUCCACCAACUCUCCCAGAGUAAUUUCAUCAGGGGAGUCAUUUAUUCAUUCAUCCAGCAACUGGGCAAACAUCCCAUGGCUUCUGUGGUGUGUUCAGGGCUGAGCUGGGAUCUGUGGGGGUUAUAAGAUUUCAGGCUUUCUGGGGCUCACCUGGCCCAGGAGCUGCAGGGCCUGUUUUUCUGACCUCUAAGGCUGCUCCUUCCUGAACAGUCAGGAAGUAGGAGUGAGCAGACCCACUGCAUGGCUCCCACCUGGUACUGAAGGGGUUGUGCUUCUGGGACAGUCUCCUGGCUCUUUCUUCCUCAUCUCAGCCUUUAGUGUCUUGAGGACUUGCCUGUGGGCUUGCCAGCUGAUGAUGAGGAAAGAAAAUGAGCCUGAAUCAGCAGAUGUUCUGCCCCCAGAGAACAGUUUCACCUAUUGUACAGAUGGUAUGGGGGCUUUUUCUUUCUGUUGCAAAUGGCAGCAUCUCCCUUCUAGACUGAGUCCAAAUUUUUAGCAAGGGAAUUGUUGAUAUUUAGCUUCAGGCAGCUUUUAAUGGUUCUUUACCCUGUUUUUGGAAGUUCUUUUUAUUAUUUGUUGCAAUAGACUCACUCUGGAUCUUUUAUUUUUGUAACAAGAGAGCUGCUUCUUGGGAAGGGAGAUAAACUUUGCCAAAAUACCACUCUUUCAUAGGACAAGAGCCCGUAACUGCCACACAAAAUUCAACAGGAAAUAUUGCACUGAUGUAAUCCUCAGUAGCAGUUAAGUGCCUACUAUUGUACUCUGCUUGUAUUAAGCACCCCAUAAAUGUUGAUGCUGGACUGAAGAAAACACAGCUCAAAAUAAACACAAUUGGAAGACAAAGGAUGUGGAAUGGGCAAUGCUAAUUAGAUGAGAAAAAGCAAAGUUAAAGCAUGGAAAAAGGGUUUAAUAGCAUAUUAUAGAAUUAUCCACUGAAAGAACAAAGUAGAACAAACUAAAAAUAAAAAGGAACUAUAACAGCUUAGAUCAGAGGAAUGUGGAGGCAGAGAAAAGCUGGAGAGGUAAUUAGGAUAAUUAUCUCCAUGCAGUGGUUCUCAAUCUUGGCUGCACAUUGGAAUCACCUGGGGAGUUUUAAAAACUCCGGAAGCCUGCAUAAUCCCUCAAGAGAGUCUGAUUUAGUCUGGGGUGGGGUCUGGGCAUCAGAAUUUAAAAAAAGCUCCCCAGGUAAUUCUGAUAUGCUGGCGAGUUGAUGACCACAGGGUAAGAGAUCACAUAGUGCACAAGGCUUAUGGCAGGGUUGUCCUCAGUAGACAAGACAAAGCCUGUGGCCAGGUGUCACCUCUGACUGGGUGUGUCUGCCAGCCUUCUGCACCUUAUCCUUUCUCUAGGACCAGCAUGGACCCUCAGUGGCUCCCCUCCCUGGUGACUGCUCAUGCUGGUCUCUUACAAAUCAGAGGGCAUGAGAGUCUGCUUUGGUCAGUGUGAGCCAUCUCCUUGCUCUCCUGAGGCCCUGCAAGUGCUGGACACUUACUGGGUGCUUAGUAACUAUUUGCUUGGUGUUAUGGUUCUUGUCCUCUGGGUCUUUCUAUACUGAUUGAAAUGGGCUAAGUCUGUAGCUCUUGGUUCCUGCCCUUAAUCCUACCCUGACUUUCAAGAUCCAAACUCUGCCCUAUUCAGCUCUCUUCUGAGAGGUAGAAUUCAGCCAGGGGGAUCUGCUAGCUGUGAUUCCUUAUACUGGACAACACAUCACUGUUUGUAUGUGAGAUGACUGUAGCCUGCAUCACACCGGACCCACAGAAUAAUGAGUUCUUGCUGGAUCUCAACUUUGUGUUUUCUCCUUUCCUCCCUUUCCCCUUUCUUUCCUCCCUUCAUCCUUCCUUCCUUCCUUCCUUCCUUCCUUCCUUCCUUCCUUCCUUCCUUCCUUCCUUCCUUCCUUCCUUCCUUCCUUCCAUUUCCUUUCUUCCUUUCUAUUUUUCUUGUAAUUCCAAGGCUCACAGAAGACCACAGUCACCCAAGAAGACCUGCUAUUGAGAGUGAAAAUAUGGGAGUGCGCUGAAGUGGCCACCUGUAUUUAGAGGGAUGAAUACCACUCGUUCUCCUGGAACUGCUGAUUUCACAGUGAAGAUUUGCUGCCACACAAACACAGAGAGAGCUCUGGGUAGUAUGUGAAGUUAUUGCUGUCACUGGAAAUCUUUUUUGAUUUCCCCACUUGCUGGAAUAACUGUGGGGGCCUCAGCGAGAACAUGGAGAGGCCAGAACAGAAGUUUUCAUGCUGAGAAGAGGCUAAUCUUAUGCCUUUGUUCUCUGUCUAAUCUUAGGCAUAGAAGUCUAUUUAUAAAAAAGCAAAAACAAAAUAACGGUAAUUUUGUACUUCCAUCCAACAAUAUGCCAAUAAAGAGGGAAAAGCUGGAAAAA